UUGCUUUGGCACUAAAUAUACUAAAUUUAAAACAACAGAGAGUAGAUAAACAUUGCCCUGCAUAGAGAUGACACAUAAAUUUUUGAAGAAAAAAAAAGUGUU